GUCCUAAAGGGUUGUCGUAGACUACGACGUUGAUAGGCAGGGUGUGUAAGUGCUGCGAGGCAUUGAGCUAACCUGUACUAAUUGCCCGUGAGGCUUAACCAUACAACACCCAAGGGGUUU
rnacentral:rRNA from 10 species